GAUGAACGCUAGCGGCAGGCUUAAUACAUGCAAGUCGAACGGUAAGGUCUCUUCGGAGAUACACGAGUGGCGCACGGGUGCGUAACGCGUAUGCAACCUACCUUUAACUGGGAAAUAGCCCCGAGAAAUCGGGAUUAAUGUCCCAUAUUAUUCUGAGGAUACCUAUCCUUAGAAUGAAAGCUCCGGCGGUUAUUGAUGGGCAUGCGUGACAUUAGCUAGUUGGUGAGGUAACGGCUCACCAAGGCAACGAUGUCUAGGGGUCCUGAGAGGGUUAUCCCCCACACUGGUACUGAGACACGGACCAGACUCCUACGGGAGGCUGCAGCAAGGAAUAUUGGGCAAUGGACGCAAGUCUGACCCAGCCAUGCCGCGUGAAGGAUGAAUGUCCUAUGGAUUGUAAACUUCUUUUAUGCAGGAAAAAUAUCCCGGUCGUGAACCGGGACUGAUGGUACUGUAUGAAUAAGCAUCGGCUAACUCCGUGCCAGCCGCCGCAGUAA
rnacentral:rRNA from 1 species